ensembl:lncRNA
CAAAGGUUCAGGCAGUGUGAGCAUGACACCUCCGUGCUAUCAUCCACUGCUAUCUACAUUUAUGCCCAUGGUCAAAGGUGAACAGCCAAGCAGCAGCUGUGUUGACUGUCUUCUUGCUCCCGAAGCUGUUUCUCAUAGUCACCCCUGAGUAAUCGCUGAUUUCAGUUUGAUUGCAGACCAAGUGGCAAGUCCUGAGUCAACCCUGUCUGCUCUGGUCAGUCAUUUUGCCAACUGGAGAUGCAAAACAAACAUCAGCGAGUCAAACUGACAGGGCAGCGUCCUCUGAGGACCUGAAGCCAGAUUAUAAAUCAAGACUUUCAUACAGUAAUGACAAAUCUGUGUGCAGUGCUUUUGCAUGAUCUAGGGAUUUAACUCUAUGCACAGUGUGUUACAGUUUCGUAGAAAAUGUUGUUGCCACAUAUAAACUGAGCUGUUGUGAAAGGGCAAGGACGUAUUUAUUGCUUGUUGACAGACAGACUAAAGCACAUUUUCUCCAGAUAUUCACUGACUUAAAUUUCCAGCACAUGGCUAAUAUUUUGUCUUGAUUCAUGAGAGGCAGCCAUUCUGGAUGUACAGCAGGGGGAAAGUCAAUCCAGGCAGCACUCGCUGACCCAGAUGUAACCGGUGUGAUGGAUGGAGGAGGACUAGCCGCUGCAAAAACAUGCCUAUUUCAGUCUCCCAUUGUUUGGUAUUCAGUCAUCAUUGUGUAUACAGCAAGUCAACAGCCAGUCUCCUGUGUGUACUACCCUUUUGCAAAAAAAAAAAAAAAAAAAAAGGAAAAAAGGAGCAUGUGUUUCCUCUCACUCAGCACACGUCUUUCCACUGAGUAAAAUGCCCUUCUCCCACUUUCAUCUCUCUCAUUUUCUCUAAAACACAUGCUUGGUUGCAUCACAUGUAGAACUGGAAAUGUUUGGGUGGCAUGGCAACACGUUUCCAAAAUGGAAUAAAUGCUUGGCAGUGCACGUGUUGUCAAAGUCUGCUGUCAGUCUGUGGCCCUGUGGCACUUUUUUUUUUUCUUAUAACAGGGAGAGCUGGCAGCAUUGAUCAUUGCCUUUGAAAAGCACUUGAUUUGAAUAUUUGAACGAGCUGCUGGGAAUACCACAAGGGACAUCAACACCAAACAAUAUUACCAUCUGCUCCCCAUAAACUGUGCAGUCGUUAUGAGCAGUGUAACAAAAUUAAGUCUGGGUUUUCCUGGAUGCUUUUUUUUUUUUUUUGGUCAGGUACUGUGCAGAUGAUACAAUUAUUCUGUCAUUCCAUACCUUCCAAGUAACAACAUAACUUCUUACUUUAAUUCAAAUGAUUUCUGAAGUUGAUGACAAAUAGUACUCAAAUGGCCUAAAGUGUUUAUAGCUGCUUUUUAUUGGUUUUUGUGUUAAGAACAUAAAUGUCUAUUGAUUAAUAGGGCUGCUGGAAAAGGCAAAUCAGGCAGCCAAUAAUCUUUCACUUUAUUUUAUAAGCACAUUAACUUUAAUUGUUAUUAUUUUUGUACUCAUGAAGCCUACUGAAAGUCAGCUCAUUAAUGGAUCUGAGAUAUCUACAGCUUGUGCAGCAGGGAUUUUCAGGUGCUCUUGGGGCUGGUGUAUAAGAAAACCAGUCAUUACAGGAUACUAUGAAGAUGUAAAUCACACUGAGAGGGGGAAGGGAUGGGACUGUGUUCAUGGGAACCAUGGUGACGACGUGUUGGGUUGCACUUUAUCACCUCUGUGAGGAGAACUAGACAGUCACUGACAUAUGACACUCCCAGCCACCUGUCUAACUAGGUGUCUGCCAAAGCACUUCCAAGCACACAUGUAGAUGCAGGUAAAAGCAGGAUGAUUCAUUUGUCCAAAUGUAGCGUCAAUAAACAGAAGGUGCAGCUGUCAGCAUUUUUCUCUCAUGGACAAUGAGGUGGGAAUGCCCGUUUGGGAGCUACCUUUACAUAAUUAUGACUUUGGUUUUAACUGAAGCCUUUCUCUUCUUUUCCCUUACAUGUAACACAC